CAGUCGCCGCGGUAAUACAGAGGGUGCAAGCGUUAAUCGGAAUUACUGGGCGUAAAGCGCGCGUAGGUGGUUUGUUAAGUUGGAUGUGAAAUCCCCGGGCUCAACCUGGGAACUGCAUCCAAAACUGGCAAGCUAGAGUAUGGUAGAGGGUGGUGGAAUUUCCUGUGUAGCGGUGAAAUGCGUAGAGAUCUGGAGGAAUACCGGUGGCGAAGGCGGCCCCCUGGACAAAGACUGACGCUCAGGUGCGAAAGCGUGGGGAGCAAACAGGAUUAGAUACCCGGGUAGUCCCUGUCUCUUAUAC
rnacentral:rRNA from 1 species